rnacentral:lncRNA from 10 species
AAAGAAGUGGGUGGUGUUGGCUCUGCACAUUGGAGGAAGAAAUGCACAGAGCCAGAGAAGACUUGAGCAGGGCUGGAGGCUGACAGGAAGGAGUUACUGCAGCUGGGAGAGAGGAAUGGGCUUACUGAUGGAGCACCAACCUGCUGGAGGUGCUUGAACACAGAACAUCUCACUUAACUCUUAGCACAAUCCUUAAGAGCCAAAUGUGUGAUCCCCCUCCAGAAAAGACUUGAGUCUUUACAGUUGGAAUUUCCGUGUCGUGAGUGACAGGAUCUUGGUCCAUCACCCAGGCUGGAAUACAGUGGUGCAAUUAUAGUUCACUGCGGCCUCAAAUUCCUGCACUCAACAGAUCCUCCCACCUCAGCCUCGCAACUGGCUGGGACUACAGGGAUGCACCACCACACCUGGCUAAUUUUUAACUCUUUCGUAGGAAUGAGGUCUUGCUGUGUUGCCCAGGCUGGUCUCGAACUCUGGGGGUCAAGAGAUCCUCCCAUCUCGGCCUUCCAAAGUGUUGGGAUUACAGGCACGCACCACCACACCUGGCUACAUGCCUAAUUUAACAUGAGCUAGAGUUAGGUUUGGCCAUCCCUAGUGUUCAGUGGAGUUGUAGAGUUAGUCUCAAAUGCCAGAGUGAAAGUCCUUGCCUAUCACUCCCUCAUGGGGUAACCAUGGUGGAGCUGCCCAAUUUCCUCAUCUCAGAAGUGAAUAUAAUAGCUUCUACCUCAUAGGGUUGUUGUGAGAAUUGCAUGAGGAAACCAUGGAAAGGAAUUCAUAGAGUACUUAGAAAGGCAGUAAGUACAGGGACAGAUUUGGGUUUCAUGGGACUUGAAGACUACACAACUUCGGAAGCCCUCUUUAAUGAAAAGAAGAUAAAUCUUACUUUUGCAAGUUUUAUAUGAAUAUGUGACUAUGUGAACACAUUGCUCAGGUCCUCCCCUCGCCCGCACACAAGGUCUAGAAAAAGGCUUAUUAAAGUGAGACAUCCUGAAGCUUAAGCGUCACCAGCUUCAAGUUCAACCCACCUCUGAAUAAAUGCUUCAAAUAAAU